GACGAACGCUGGCGGCGUGCUUAACACAUGCAAGUCGAACGGACAGGCGCGGCUUUUGUGGCGCGCUCGUGUGGCGCGCGGGUGAGUGACACGUGAGUAACCUGCCCUUGACUUUGGGGUAACUUCUGGAGACUGGGGCUAUUACACCAUAGAAGCUCCUGCUGCGUAGUGGGGGUUGGUGAGUUACGGCGGUUGGGGAUGGACUCGCGGCUUAUCAGCUUGUUGGUGGGGUAGUGGCUUACCAAGGCUUUGACGGGUAGCCGGCCUGGGAGGGUGACCGGCCACAUUGGGACUGAGAUACGGCGCAGACUCCAACGGGAGGCAGCGGUGGGGAAUAUUGCACAAUGGGCGGAAGCCUGAUGCAGCAACGCCGCGUGCGGGAUGACGGCCUUCGGGUUGUGAACCGCUUUCUCCUUUGACGAGGCGUGAGUGACGGUAACGGGUAAAGAAGCACCGGCUAACUACGUG
rnacentral:rRNA from 1 species